AACGCACAUUGCGCUCCCUGGUAUUCCGGAGAGCACGCCCGUUCCAGAAUCAGUAAAAAUCUCACCCAAGUUUGGGGUUUUCGGACCUCAGGCCCAGGUGGACUUUGGAUUUUUGCGUCAGCAAUCAUCUUAAACUCAGUGUAUGUACACCAAAGCUCAAGUCUUUUGGUUGUCAAAGUGCAACAGAUUUUUCUUUUCGCUUGGACAAUUGAUGGACCGUUUUGGUGGACGUGCUCCAAGUCUCAACACGGAUUCCUAAACCGGAUGGUUUGGGGCUCUGCAACUUGAUCUGGAAUCGGGCGGGAAAACCCGCUGAACUUAA
rnacentral:misc_RNA from 1 species